UACGAAGGGGGCUAGCGUUGUUCGGAAUUACUGGGCGUAAAGCGCGCGCAGGCGGUCUUCCAAGUCAGUGGUGAAAGCCCGGAGCUCAACUCCGGAACUGCCAUUGAAACUGUUGGACUUGAGUACGAGAGAGGUGAGUGGAAUUCCCAGUGUAGAGGUGAAAUUCGUAGAUAUUCGCAAGAACACCGGUGGCGAAGGCGGCCAACUGGACCAUUACUGACGCUGAGGCGCGAAAGCGUGGGGAGCAAACAGG
rnacentral:rRNA from 1 species